AUGAUCAGCAGAGAAUAUCAUGACAGAUUUCUGCAGAUUCCCUGUCAGCCCAAGGGCAGACAUGAUUACCGGCAUCUCUCUUUUUGGUGUCUUCUUUUGGUCCGGCAAAGAUGCUUCAUGGUGCACAAAAAUGUACUAAAACUAUCACUACUUUAUCAGGCCGCUUGUGUACAUAUAUGUAUCGGCGGCCCUGAGUCUUCUUCACUGAAUCACCAUUUCCUCCUGGAGCUGCUUUGCCAAGUUCACAUGGCUGGACUAGCUUCCCAGGUGAAGAGAUACUGUGACUGUUACAAGAGAUAUGCGGGCCAUUUGGAUGGAAAGAUGAGGUGUUUCCGCGGGCGCAUGACUGCUAAUUUUAGACAUGGCAUGGUUAUACCGUACAAGUUCAUCGACCAUUUCGGAGGAAAUAUCUCAAGGACCAUCGAACUGGAAUCCCGUAACGGCAGCAUGUACACCAUUAAAGUCUCCAAGCUUAUGAAUGAAACGGUCCUCCGGUGGCAUGGAUGGGAGGCAUUUGUCGAUGCGCAUGGCGUCGAGGAGAACGACUCGUUGCUGUUUCGCCACAUUGAGAAGUCGCGUUUCGAGGUCCUGGUGCUCGACUCCGAUGACUGUGAGAAAGUGCUUCCCUCUGCUGGCAUCAAAGUUGCUUCUUGUAAUGUUCAAGAAAGCGGCAGCAUGGAUUAUAUUGAUAUAUCAAGCAGCUCGGGUGAUGAUACCACAAGGUCGCCAGGGAGCCAACGAUUUGCUGCGUGUGAAAGAGGCGACUCGAGCCAUCCAAGAAAAACUGCUCUAAAAAACGACUCCUCGUCUGAGGAGGAUUCAGGAGAAGACACUGAUGCUGCUGAGGAACAUUCUGAACAUGAAUUAUCUUUUGAGCUAGAUGAUAUACGUCAGACACCUUGUGCAGGGCGCGCCUAUGUCUUGUCUCGGUGUGGUCAUCUGUCUGGAGCUCAGGAGGAGAGAGUAACUAGGUUUCUCCAGGAUGUUCGAGCUGAGACUCCGGUGUUCGUGGCCAUCAUGAAAAUGAGCACACAGAAUCGCACUAUUGUGAUCCCCAAGCUGUUUGCAGAGGAGCGCUUCCCGCGUGAAAGCCAGAACCUGACGCUGCAGCGCCCGGGCAAGAGCAAGAAAUGGCACCCGUGGUUUUCCAUCAGGAAGGAUCGAUGUGGGCACGUCCUCACCGGGUCUCGCUGGGUAGGCUUCCUCCGUGACAAUGGUGUGCAGGAGGGAGAUCUCUGCGUCUUCCAACCAGUGCAGGGCACUGGCACCAGGAGCAAAUUCACAGUCCAUCUGCUUCACGAGUCCUUGGGUGCAAGUGGAAGUACUGGUCCGAAGAAAAGAGUAGGAUGCACUACUACUCAUGGUAACACAAGGGUGAACUCGGGUGCCCCUGAAAGAGCGACCACUGCUCAUGGUCAUGGUGCAACAACAAUCGCAAAGGCGGCGCCACCCACCCCAACAACCCUCCGUGUCAACAAGCAGCACGAUGAUGGGUGCAACCAUGGUCGUGAGCGAGCACGCCAACAACCAAAGCCGCUGCGCCCCUACAUAUUGUCAUCCACCGCACGCCUGACUGAGGAGCAGGAGAGGGAGGUGGACCGGACAGCCCGCGCCAUCGGGUCUCGGGUUCCUGCCUACGUCUCGGUGAUGAACAGGAGCAGCGUCGGCGUGGGCAACGGGAUCUACAACGUAACCAUUUCCGGGGCGUAUGCUGCCGAUUACCUUCCGGACGGGGAGCGGGUUGCCGUGACGCUCGUGAGGAGGAAGAAAGAGUGGGAGGUCGAGAUGUGCACGCGCGGCGGCGGGCGGACGCUGGCGUGGGGCUGGCGUGGUUUUGCCCGUGACAACCGGCUGCGGGUGCAGGACGUGUGCCUGUUCCAGCCCAUGGAGAAGAACCGCAGGAGCCUUGCCAUGGCGGUCCACAUCAUCCGUCACUGUCGCAAGCGAAAGCAGUAG
rnacentral:rRNA from 1 species